GGGGCCCCCCCCCCCCCCUUAAUAAAAACUCUCUUCCCACAAAAGCCUGAAGAGCAAACCAAAAAUUAAAAUACUUUUGUUAGUCGCCCCCCCUAAAACGAUGUAAAAUUAUUUUUUGGGGGCCUUUGGGCUUUUAGUAGCGCAGUUAACGGGUGAAGUUGCUUCCCUGGGGAGUAGGGUCGCAAGUUUAAAAAUCAAAGAAAUAAAGGGGGCCCCCCCCCCCCGGUGGAUGUUGUGGUUUAUUUUGAUGCAACGGGAAAAACCUUACUUCCCCUUCCCAUUUUUGAAAAACCGAAAAAAUUUGGCGGUUUUCCCAAGAAAACAGAACAACAGGUGCUCCACCCCCCCCCGUCAGCUCGUGUCGUGAGAUGUUGGGUUAAGUCCCGCAACGAGCGCAACCCUUCUCAUUAGUUUUUUCGCAAGAGCACUCUAAUAAAAAUGCCGGUGACAAACCGGAGGAAGGGGGGGAGGAGGUCAAGUCCUCAUGGCCCUUAUGGGUAGGGGUUCACACGUCAUACAAUGGUCGGGACAGAGGGUCGCCAACCCGCGAGGGGGAGCCAAUCUCAGAAACCCGAUCGUAGUCCGGAUCGCAGUUUGCAACUCGACUGCGUGAAGUCGGAAUCGCUAGUAAUCGCGGAUCAGAAUGUCGCGGUGAAUACGUUCCCGGGUUUUGUACACACCGCCCGUCACACCAUGGGAGUGGGUUCGUGCAGAAGUAGGUGGGCUGGUGUAAGGCGGGCGCUUGUCUCUCCUGAUCAGGGCGCGGGUCCGUCGGAGUUCUCGGUUGAUUGUGCCCUUAG
rnacentral:rRNA from 2 species